rnacentral:rRNA from 1 species
UACGGAGGGUGCAAGCGUUAGUCGGAAUUACUGGGCGUAAAGGGUGCGUAGGCGGGGAUGUAAGUUAGAUGUGAAAUACCGUUGCUCAACAACGGCCGUGCAUCUAAAACUGCAUUUCUAGAGGGAUAGCGGAGAAACGGAAUUCCACGUGUAGCGGUGAAAUGCGUAGAUAUGUGGAAGAACACCUGUGGCGAAAGCGGUUUCUAGCUUGACCCUGACGCUGAGGCACGAAAGCAAGGGGAGCAAACAGG